CAGCAGCCGCGGUAAUACGUAGGGUGCAAGCGUUAAUCGGAAUUACUGGGCGUAAAGCGUGCGCAGGCGGUUAUAUAAGACAGAUGUGAAAUCCCCGGGCUCAACCUGGGAACUGCAUUUGUGACUGUAUAGCUAGAGUACGGCAGAGGGGGGUGGAAUUCCGCGUGUAGCAGUGAAAUGCGUAGAUAUGCGGAGGAACACCGAUGGCGAAGGCAAUCCCCUGGGCCUGUACUGACGCUCAUGCACGAAAGCGUGGGGAGCAAACAGGAUUAGAUACCCCUGUAGUCCCUGUCUCUUAUAC
rnacentral:rRNA from 1 species